GGACGAGGUUCUUUCCACAAUCCAAUCUGAUAAAAGCUUUUUUUCUGUCCUGCUCCUUCUUCGCUGACUCACUGCUGGAAAAGCAACAAGUCCUUGACAUAAGCAAGCACAAGCCUCGCAACUGCUCCUCCACGUUGAGAGCUGGAAGGUGUGCCACCUUCAUGAAAGGAACGAGGUCCAUUAGCUGAGUGCUACACGUUGGUCUCCAGGCCGUUCAUGUCGAUGGAACAGUGCUCCUUGUCCCUGUGGCCUCUCUUGUGGUGAGAGGUGAGCGCCUGUUUCCUCUUCUCCGUCGGUCGGACGCCCUCCUCCAGCUGGAUCAGCCGCGCCACGUCCGGGGACAGGUGGUCCUGCCGGCUGCCCGCCGGAGGUGGCUGGUAGCAGCCGUUCUUCUGGUUCUGAUGUGGGCCAUGAUCCCUGUGGCCAAGGCAUCACCCAUCACAUUGACCAUGGUCCUGAAUCGAUCCCUGCGUGACAACAUCUGAAGUCAUCUUUUGAUCACGUGGAAAGGAAGGCACACGUUAUAUGACCUACUCUACAUUGGAAUGUGAGUUUUAAUGAUUUGACUCAGACCUGGUUUUGAUGUACAUAUGCAUGUUUUGGAUGAUUGUAAAUACAUGAUAAUUACAUUGUUUAAUAAAUAUGUUUAACCCUGUAAGACCCAAAUAUAGACAAACCUAAAAAACCUUUCAGAUUUUGUAGGAGGAAAUUGAAGAGUUAAAAAAAAAAGUUUAUGUAUGUUUUUAGAGUAAUGUUGUAAUAUUGCAACAUUGGGCUUUGACGGGAGCAGAAUUUCUGUAUUUGUACUCACGUUGUCUGAACAACUAAGGGUUCAUUUGCAGGGUUGAUUGCUUACUUAGCCCCAUAACGGUAUAUACCAUUAAUAAUAAUCACACAUUAGUUAUAUUUUUAUGAAGUCAUUUAUUACAAAUAUAAAAAAUAUGAAACAAGAUACAACUCUUAAAAAACGCUUUUUCCCCCUCUUUUAUAAUUGCAACAAUUAUAUAACAAGCUCUAAAUGAAAUUUGAUGCAUCUGUUCCACAUUAAA